GUAUAGGGGAGCCGCAGGGAAACCGAGUCUUAACUGGGCGUUAAGUUGCAGGGUAUAGACCCGAAACCCGGUGAUCUAGCCAUGGGCAGGUUGAAGGUUGGGUAACACUAACUGGAGGACCGAACCGACUAAUGUUGAAAAAUUAGCGGAUGACUUGUGGCUGGGGGUGAAAGGCCAAUCAAACCGGGAGAUAGCUGGUUCUCCCCGAAAGCUAUUUAGGUAGCGCCUCGUGAACUCAUCUUCGGGGGUAGAGCACUGUUUCGGCUAGGGGGCCAUCCCGGCUUACCAACCCGAUGCAAACUACGAAUACCGAAGAAUGUUAUCACGGGAGACAC
rnacentral:rRNA from 1 species